UGCGGCGGCAACGGUAGUGGCUGAAGCAAAUCGAAUAAUCUCGAGUGCCCUGCAGCAUGUCAACUCGUCUUCUUUCGUCCCUCUUCAAUCGAACUCCAGAAGUUGGAAGGCCGGGUUUCCUCACCUUCCGGUGUGGCGACGAAGAAGAUCUGAAUCUGCUGAAUGGGGAUUUAGGGAUUUAGAAGAAAGAAUAGCGAACAGAAUACAGUGGUAGCCGAUUUUGGUCCGUGUCUUUUUUUUUUCCUCCGUGUUUCAUUCUCG
rnacentral:lncRNA from 1 species